AAACUUUACAAUGCUGGAAACAGCGAUAGGGGGACUUUGAGUGCCAGGAUACAAUUCUGGCUGUCGUGAUGCCUAAAAAGCAUUGCAUAGCAAGGGCCGGGCAAGACCGGUGCCAGCCGCCGCGGUAACACCGGCGGCUCGAGUGGUAACCGCUAUUAUUGGGUCUAAAGGGUCUGUAGCCGGCUGAAAAAGUCUCUUGGGAAAUCCGACAGCUCAACUGUCGGGCUUCCAGGGGAUACUCUUCGGCUCGAGACCGGGAGAGGUGAGAGGUACUUCAUGGGUAGGGGUGAAAUCUUGUAAUCCUUGAAGGACCACCAGUGGCGAAGGCGUCUCACCAGAACGGACCUGACGGCAAGGGACGAAAGCUAGGGGCACGAACCGG
rnacentral:rRNA from 1 species